rnacentral:rRNA from 1 species
UACGUAGGGUGCAAGCGUUGUCCGGAAUUAUUGGGCGUAAAGAGCUCGUAGGCGGUCUGUUGCGUCGGCUGUGAAAACCCGGGGCUCAACUCCGGGCCUGCAGCCGAUACGGGCAGACUAGAGUUCGGCAGGGGAGACUGGAAUUCCUGGUGUAGCGGUGAAAUGCGCAGAUAUCAGGAGGAACACCGGUGGCGAAGGCGGGUCUCUGGGCAACAACUGACGCUGAGGAGCGAAGGCGUGGGGAGCGAACAGG